rnacentral:lncRNA from 1 species
UAAGAAAAAAUAAUUUUUAAUAAAUUUUUGUAAUGUUUAAAAAUAUUUUCGGCAUAAAUUAUCAGAACUUGACGGAGGAAGUUUAAAUACAUUAACUUAAAAAUUUUAAGAGAAUAACAUAUAAAUUUUUAAAAAUUCACACGAUGGGCGAAGGCAAUUACGCCAUUUCGGGUUAACUCGAGUUUCAGCCGUAACUAUUUUACGGCGAACCAAACAACGAAAGUGAUCGCUUAUAACGUAGGCUUAGUUUGGUACUGAGAUCUAUCUAACGCUAUUAGAUAGAAUGGAGUUGAAAAAAAAUAUUUAGGAAUAUACUUCUGCGUUCUCUAAUGGAACCGCAGAAAAUAUAUCGUAACCGACUAACAACAAUAUGAAAAAAACAAACAUAAUAUUUUUUCAUUUCUCACCGUACGUAGCACAAUCUUCCUAUAAUUUCAAACGAAACCUUCUCUCUCCUCUCUACUUCCACCUCACUUUCAGCCAAACAAACGCACCCUUUAAAAGCGAAAUAUAACUUAA